AGGGCGACAGUACCUACUUGGUAGAGACUUGCGUACAGAAAAUUAGUAUUUUAAGGCACCUAGCAAUGGCGCUCAAUACUGGUUCCCGCCUUCCCCCAGGUGUCUCUCGAGCUGAGCCUGAGCAGUCAAGGACGGUCGAAGCCGGGAAAGCGGUUCUACCUGGAGACCGCUGCCGGGCACUGCUCCCGAACCGGGCUGACCUCCCAACGCCGGCUCCACCCGGGAGCACACGUCCCGCGGGAUGACUGAGCAUCCCUCUGUCAGAGGGGCCCUGCAGCGCGUGGCAGCCACCGCCAGCCAAGGAUGCGGAAAAGAAGCGCGGAGAGCCGAGCGGAGAGGCGGCGGCGCCCGAAGCUGCAGCGACCACCCCCACGCCGCCCGCCCGCGAACUCGCCACGGGUGCUGGGCCGCGCUGGCCGCGUUUGAAGUCUCCGGCGCCGCUGCUGGUUGGCCGGCUCGGGUCACGUGCACCCAGGCAGGCGUUUCCCCGACAGCUGGAGGCUGCGUGGGAUCCGGCGGCGGCUCCGGAGCUCGGCGGUGCGGCCUUCCCCGCCCCCUCCUCCCUCCUCCCCCGCCCGCUUCCGCCCGGCUUAUUAUCCUCCUUAUUGACAAACAGAGCGGCCGCGGCGGCGACUCUCCGCGUGCAUCUGUAGCCAAGCCAUGGGAGACAAGAAGAGCCCCACCAGGCCGAAGCGGCAGCCGAAGCCGUCCUCGGAUGAGGGUUACUGGGACUGUAGCGUCUGCACCUUCCGGAACAGCGCCGAGGCCUUCAAGUGCAUGAUGUGCGAUGUGCGGAAGGGCACCUCCACCCGAUCCACAUUCUUUGAAGUUAUUGUGAAUGCCUCGAGGACCAAGGAACCGUUGAAAUUUCCAAUUUCAGGAAGUUCCAGUGGAUGCCCAUCAGGAAGAUUCUCAUGCUGGACAGAAGGGCAAGAGAGGUGGAUCUGUGAGGGAAAAGACCCAAUAGGAUAACUCAAGUUACUGGAAUAAGAAUCCAGUUGCUGGGGAGAUAGAACACAGCCAUGGAAGGAUCAACAGCAUUACAGAGGAGUGUAGAAGACCAGGAUUCUGCAGAAGUGCUGCAGGGGCUCCACAAAUACUUGAUGCACAUUUCUUUUAAAAAUAUUUUAUCAUUAAAAAAAUCUAAAAUAACAUGUUACAUAAAUGGGUUCUGUGCAACAAAUAGACCAUGCAUGGAAGGAAAACCACUAAAGCUAAUUAUUUUGCAGAUUAGCUCAUUCUUUUUUUUUUGUUUGUUUGUUUUUUUACAAUUGUAAAAUAAAGUAGCAAAUCCUUUAUUUGUGUUUCUUGAAACUGUGAAAAGAGAGCCCUAGCCACAUUUUUUUAGUUAUCAUUUUCCCUCUUCCACCUCUGUCCUCACAUAAUAGUUUUGCUCCCAACCUACAGUUCUCAAAACCUCUUCAACCCCCACAACCCAACAAAACAAAACCUCUCUCAUUAGUGUCUUUCUAAUUUCCUUCUUAUUCUCCAUCACAAAAUCUCAAAAACGGAUUUAUUUAAAAAAAAAAAAAAGAAAAAAAAAAGAUCUACUUCAGAAAGCCUGGGAGAGAAAGAGUCUUUGAGCAGACUGCAGAAUGCUCCCCUAGACUACAGGAGAAAUCUGAGAAAUCCAGGGAGUUCACACUGAGUGAUUUAUAUCCUUUUGUGCUUGUUAACCCUUUAUAGGCUACAUGGUGCUAGAGCUCUCUGAUAAGUCUUCAAAUGAUAAUAUACUAGAUGAAUUUUUCCACAAACCCAAGAAACAGUACAGAACGUUAUAUUUUUAAGGACAAAAAGGAAACAGGGCUUCUCACGUGAGUAGUUAUUCAACAGAAAGGAUUUUAUCAUGCAAUAUUUUGCAACAAUGAACCUGAGCCAUCUUGUUUUGCUGUAAGACGUGUGAUUGUAUUCUUUCAUCUUCUCUGAUAUUUGGCAUCAAAAUUUACGUGAUAUGAUUCAUAAGUAGAUUCUGAAGGAUAGGCACGUAUACCUAGUCUAAAAAUGAAACCAUAAUUUUGGAGCAAAGAAAAUGGUUGUCCUCUCUUCAAAAAAUUACGAGCCAUUACGGUUUUCAAAGUAAAAUGUUCUGGUAAUGCCAGUGCAAAGAAGUGGAAGCAAAGAUAAGCCAAAAUCUAGUAGAGGUGUGUUUGAAAUCAUGAAAUCAGUAUUACAAGGUAAGUAUAGUCCUAAGAUUAGGCCUAGUAGCUGAUGAGGAGUUAGUCAAAUUAAAAAAAAACUUUAUCUAUGGAUAUGAGGGAGAUCUGGCUGUGACAUCUGUCACCCCAUUGAUCGCUAGGGUUGAUUUGGCUGAUCUGGCUGGCUAGGUGGGUGUCCCCUUCCUCCCUCACCACUCCAUAUGCGUCCCUCCCGAAGCUGCGCGCUUCUUUGAAGAGGACGACCUUCCGGAUAGAGGAGGACCGUUUGGUCAAGGGUAUACGAGUAGCUGCACUCCCCUGCUAGAACCUCCAAACAAGCUUUCAAGGUCCAUUUGUAGGAGAACGUAGGGUAGUCAAGCUUCCAAAACUCCAAAAACAUCCAAAUGAGGCACUGCACAUGGCAGUCUGCUUUUCUUUAAUUAAUAAAUAAUAAAUAAAUAAAUAAAUAAAUAAAUAAAUAAAUAAAUAAAUAAAUAAAUCUUUACCUAUUUCAGGUCUAUAUACUUUUAAAACCACAUUAUUACAGAAUAGAAAUUUGGGUUUAGUAUGUUUUUCAAGUCUUAGUAAAAUUUUUAACAUUGAUUGAAUUUUAUUACUUUUUCUUCUGUACAUUAUUCAUGAAAUGACUUAAAGUAUUUUUUAUUUUUAUUUUUUUAACUGUAUUUAUUUAUUUUGAGAGAGAGACAGAGCAAGUGCUCAUGAAUGGGGCAAGGCAGAAAGGGAGGGAGUGGAGAGAGAAUCCUAGCCAGGCUCCACACUGUCAGCCCAGAGCCAAGUGCGGGAAUCGAUCUCAUGAACUGUAAGAUCAUGGCCUGAGCCAAAAUCAAGAGUCAGACACUUGAUCACCUUUAAGGUGCCCCUUAAAGGAUGUUUUUUAAAAAGACCCAUGUUGGGGCUCCUGGGUAGCUCAGUCGGUUAAAGCGUCCAACUUGGGUUCAGGUCAUGGUCUCUCAAUUGGUGAGUUUGAGCCUCGAGUAGGGAACUGUGCUGACAGCUCAGAGGACACUAAAGCAGCCUGGAGCUGCUUCGGAUUCUGUGUCUCCCUCUUUCUCUGCCCCUUCCCCACUCGCGCGCUCUCUCUCUCUCUCUCUUUUUCUCUCUCUCUCUCUCAAAAAUAAACAUUAAAAAAAUUAGGGGUGCCUGGGUGGCUUAGUAGGUUAAGUGUCGGGGUCAUGAUCUCAUGGUUUUUGAGUUCGAGCCCCAAAUGGAGCUCUGCGCUGACAGGGCAGACUGCUUGGGAUUCUCUCUCUUGCCUUCUCUCUGCCCCUCCUCCUUCCCUCCGUAUCCCUCUCUCUCUCUCUCUGUC